rnacentral:lncRNA from 10 species
CAAGAGAGAGAGACUGGAGAAGGAGGGAGGGGAAAGAGAGAGGGUAGGGGGAGAGAGGAGAGAGGGAGGAGAGGAGAGGAGAAAAAAAAAAAAGAGAGAGACAGAGAGACUGAGAACCAGGACUCACACCCAGGGCUGCACCUUUAAGUAAGGCUAUACUUAUAACCUGUGAAAAACAAAGUAUUUUUGUUUCUUCUACUGAUUUUCCCUUCUCAUAGAAGAUUACUCCCAGAGCUUAGUUUAAGUAGCAAAUUCCAGUUUAGCCUUAAUCUUUCAGGUUUGGGAGACUCAUCUCCCUUCACCCCAAGCCUAGCUCAUAGUAGUGAUUUUUAUUCUGAAGAGGGAAAUCAACUAACAAACAGGAUGAGUGAGGACAAUAUCCAGAUAUUAGCUCCUCCUCAUCAGCCACAGAAGUUUGUGUCUACUCUCUAGCUCCACCUACUGGACCUUGUGUAAAUCACCUGAAUAAAUGCACAAGCGCUCACUGCAAGACCCCAUGCUAUACAAGGCACUGAGGGAAAGGAAGCAACAUUAUUCUUUCAGGGACUGCUAGGAUUAAAAGAAACUUUUAAGGCGAAUCUCCUCUUUUACUGAAGAGAAAACUAAGUGCUAGAUGCAUUGGGCAUUUGCUGCAUGUGGAGUCAAAUUGGCCAGAGUUUGAACCAUGGUCCUGCCACUUCCUGAUAAUGGCACCUCAGAACUUCCCAGAGCAGGUUAUCUGCAAUGGAAGCAGUGAUGCAGCACCCACAUGUCCCAGAGGAAGGGUUGUCAGCUGACAGCUCACAGCUGGAUCACGCUGGGGGAUUUUUUUUCUUUCCCCUGGAGAAAAUGCAUCUAAUGACUGAUUGAGAUGACGAACAGAAGUCUGGCCCUUUGCGUAUCUGGGCUGCUGACCCAAUAAAAUGGAGCCCCUGUGACCUGCUUUCAGGGCUUUCACAACUGGUCCCGCAUGACGACCCUGCCUGACAACCCCAACUUGGCUUCAGCCUUCCUCUUGCUGGAUGACUUCAGCAAGUCAGACACUCUCCAUGCAUGUGCCUUCUCGUUUAUAAAACAAAGACAGGAUUAUUGUGAGAAUCAAAUAAAAUAAUGGAUAUAAGCA